GAACUUAUCAGGAAUUCUAACCAUUUGCAAUCUGCCUCUGCUAGAAUCUUGGCAUGAGUGUAUCUGAACCUGGACAUCCCGGAUGGCCCCAGGUGAUUCUGGUGCUGACCGGUGUGGAACUGAACAUGAAGGAGGCAUAGCUGGACCACAGUUCUUUGGAGACCGAUGAGCGAAAUGGGCCUCCCUGGAGAACUAUGAGGGGAUAGAUGCUGUGAGGAGGAGAGAAGGUGGUCAGG
rnacentral:lncRNA from 1 species